rnacentral:rRNA from 1 species
ACUCCUACGGGAGGCAGCAGCAGGGAAUAUUGCACAAUGGGCGAAAGCCUGAUGCAGCGACACCGCGUGCGGGAUGACGGCCUUCGGGUUGUAAACCGCUUUCAGGAGGGAAGAAAAUGACGGUACCUCCAGAAGAAGCUCCGGCCAACUACGUGCCAGCAGCCGCGGUAAUACGUAGGGAGCAAACGUUGUCCGGAUUUAUUGGGCGUAAAGGGCUCGUAGGCGGUUCAACAAGUCGGUCGUGAAAGCCCGGAGCUCAACUCCGGGACGCCGGUCGAAACUGUUGUGACUAGAGUUCGGUAGAGGUGAGUGGAAUUCUCGGUGUAGCGGUGGAAUGCGCAGAUAUCGAGAGGAACACCAUUAGCGAAGGCGGCUCACUGGGCCGAUACUGACGCUGAGGAGCGAAAGCGUGGGGAGCAAACAGGAUUAGAUACCCUGGUAGGUGA